GAGCCAGCUCAGCCCACCGGUUCCAUCGACCAACACGUAGCUUGGAUCCUGCAAUUGCCCAUAGCAGUUUGAAACCCGUGGGUGCUGCCUGGCUUUUUU
ensembl:vault_RNA Vault Vault RNA